AACAUCUUCGGAUCAAAUGGUGUGAUUCCGCUCGAGGAUAGGACCGCGUACUAUUAGCUUGUUGGUGAGGUAACGGCUCACCAAGGCUGCGAUGGUUACCGGGUGUGAGAGCAUGACCCGUCUCACUGGGACUGAGACACUGCCCAGACACCUACGGGUGGCUGCAGUCGAGAAUCUUCCGCAAUGGACGCAAGUCUGACGGAGCGACGCCGCGUGCUGGAUGAAGGCCCUCGGGUUGUAAACAGCUGUCGUAGGGGAGGAAAUUUUGACCGAUCCUAG
rnacentral:rRNA from 1 species